rnacentral:rRNA from 1 species
GUUUGGGAAUGCAGCUCUAAGUGGGUGGUAAAUUCCAUCUAAAGCUAAAUAUUGGCGAGAGACCGAUAGCGAACAAGUACAGUGAUGGAAAGAUGAAAAGAACUUUGAAAAGAGAGUGAAAAAGUACGUGAAAUUGUUAAAAGGGAAGGGCUUCAGAUCAGACUUGAUGUUUAGCGAUCCAUCUUCCUUUUUGGUUGGUGCACGCGCUUUUCAUUGGGCCAACAUCGAUUUGAGUGGUAGGAUAAUGCCGUUGGAAUGUAGCUUCAUUCGUGAAGUGUUAUAGACUUCGGUGAUACUGCCCACUUGGAUCGAGGACUGCGUCUUAUUGACUAGGAUGUUGGCGUAAUGAUUUGAAGCCGCCCGUCUUGAAACACGGACCA